rnacentral:misc_RNA from 1 species
UUUCCGUAGGUGAACCUGCGGAAGGAUCAUUAACGAGUUAGGGUCUUCUAGGCCCGACCUCCCAACCCUUUGCUUAUUGAACCAUUGUUGCUUCGGUGGGUCCGUCUAACGACCGCCGGGGGACCGCCGCGAGGCGCCCCUUGGCCCGCACCCGCCGACAGCCCAACUCUAAAUCCUUUAUGAAUCGUGUCCUAUGUCUAAAUCAUGAUUAAAAAUCAAAACAAAACUUUCAACAACGGAUCUCUUGGUUCUG